rnacentral:lncRNA from 1 species
CUGGAGACUGGCUGCUCAACACCCACUGGAGACUGGCUGCUCAACACCCACUGGAGACUGGCUGCUCAACACCCACUGGAGACUGGCUGCUCAACACCCACUAGAGACUGGCUGCUCAACACCCACUGGAGACUGGCUGCUCAACACCCACUGGAGACUGGCUGCUCAACACCCACUGGAGACUGGCUGCUCAACACCCACUAGAGACUGGCUGCUCAACACCCACUAGAGACUGGCUGCUCAACACCCUCGUGUCCUAGGUAUAAUCCAGUAGAUCGUGUCCUAGGUAUAAUCCAGUAGAACUCUUGAGUUUCUCUUAUUCGAUUCCUUGUUUCUACUGACUGGAUAUCACUUGAGUAUCAAUGUCUUUUCUCUCUCUUCUCCCUCUCUUUUCUCUCUGUACCAACGAUGACACCUAGUAACACGUUCUGAGAGUAUCCUGUCUUUUAGUUUGUGUCUUGUUUGAUUGAAUAUGCACACCUGUCAGAGUUUAGAUCAAACCUUACACACCUCCAAUGGAUCGUAUCUCCAGAACACCAACUGUCUCUACCACUAGACUAGCACAUCAGAGUUGUUUUGUUUUAUGUACAGUAUUGACUUUCCUUCAAUAACAAAACGUAUUUAUUGUGUGUUUGUGUGGAAGAGUAGCUGCCUAGAAUACGAUAAAGAAGGUUUGGACUGUCAUAGAUUCUAAGGAUUCUCCAUGAAAUCUUCCUGAACUGGGAACCGCUGUGAAUGAACUGAAACUUACUGAACGGAAUGGAACCGUCUGGUUCUGUAAGUGGUUCUGUGACAUCAUCCCUGUCCUUCGCUGUCUCGCUCCAGGUAGCAGCUUUGUAAUAGCACUUCGCACAAUGUGGGGACAGUACCAUGAACUAAAUUUAAUUGACUACUUUCUGUUACCUGCAUGGGUCUACAGACCAUGACUAAUGCUACUGAAUAACCAGGUUUCAUAUGUUCAAUCCUGUGGUGUUUAACGUUCCACACAAGGUUUGCCUCAAAAUAUUAUUUGGGUUUUAGCUAGAUGGUGUGAUACAAUAUCAUGAGAAUUUUCCACUCUCACAAAAUGAUCAGAAUGGGAGUACUACUGUAUCUGAUUCCAGAACAUCUGAUUUUUAUGUUCUAUUCAGAAGGUCGUGGUUGCCUUGUGAAAAUGGCCACCCUGUUCCCUAUGAAGUUAGGAAGAGGGUGGCAUUUUGAACGCAUACCAUAUCUGGACCACCUGUGUUGUACAUAUCUGUACUAAAAACGUUGACUUUGGCUCUCUGCUUUCCCUCUACAGAACAGCUGCUGUUUAGCCGGUGUACCUUUAUAAAGGAGAGGAGGGUGCCACUUGGGACGGAACAUGUCUGCAGUGUUGAAAAUGUUUGACUCGUUUAAGGUGUCAACUGAUGCCUUGAGACACAUUUGCUAGUUUUUUGCUGCAUUUUAAAGCAUAUUUUCAUACUGAUGUUGCCCCGCUUGUAGUGGUCUGCUGUUUUAACUGCAUCAAAGAGAAACCAAAUCGUGGAUUGUAAUACUAAUGAGGCUGGAAUAAGGCUUUGAAGGCCCGGCCCCCCCUUCGCUCUUUUUCUACAAGCCUCUCUCCCUUCUCGAUCUUCUCUUUCCCUGACCGCUCCUUGCCUCUUCCUCCUCUGCCUUUGAUUGUUUACUGCUAAAUUGAGCCUCUUUUCUGUACUUAAUAAAAAUGAACAUUUUGAAAAUGGCUGACUUGUAAUUGUUAGGAUGCUAUAUAGUAUUUUCUAUAUUCCAGUAAAACAAGUGUUGCUGAUGUGACAAAUGCUUCCAUUUAGGGAUGCAAGGUAACGAUGCUUGGUGGGUGAAAGUUGUCUAUGUUCAGAGGGUCCAUGGUUCGAGCCCAGGCUGGGGAAAGGACUGAAGAAACAUGAUUACAC